AAAAUGAAUGAAUCUAAACUUGAAAUGCAUCUAUAUACAUCUGUAUGUGGUUCAUAGUGAAAUCUCUACAAAGACUUAUAUUUAGGAACGGAGGGAGUACAUCCUUUUUGCAUCUCUGUCAACAAUAUUAUAACAAUCUGAUCUGAAAAGCGAGAAGUAACGCAACAACUUUGAGUCAGAACGGUGAGGCCAAUAGUAUUGUUUUAUGCAUCGUGUCAUCCCCUCCAGAGCCAAUAAUUGACUUGUAUAUAUGCUGUGGAAAUAGUUGUGGCCAUAUGCUGUUAACUUGUUGGGCAUCAUCACAUUUGUUUUCUUUAGUGGGAGACUGUUGCUGUCACAAGUGCACCGGAAGAGGUCCGCCUGUACUUUUUAGGUAGUCUUUUGUGUGGGGAUGGAAGCUGAGUUCUUGCCAUCUUGCUGCUUUCCCUGUGUUUGCGCAAGUGUGGUUGUGGUGGUGAUGAUGUUAGCAUUGGGAUGCUUUUCAUUGGGAUGGAAUGGAUAGAGCUUACAUUUGAUACUGGGUCAACUUGAUGAGGAUAGAAAAGGAGAGGCACCUAGGCUCCCUUCCACAUAGUUAACCAUAUCUGCAGGGGGCAGUACCAACAUGCGUCGCCCUCGCCCAGAUAUGCAGAUCUAUGUGCAUUUUCAAAGCGCAAUUUAUCAGGGACCCGUUUGGUAUCUUGUUCCUUUGUUGUUUGUCCACUCUUCUCCUGUGUUCUAUUUGGUCAUCACUACCAGGGGUGGUUCCUGAUCACUGCUUUUUCUCUGGCCUCAACAGGGAACACAUCGCUUGUUCGCAGCUGUUGCAAGUGCUCUGCUGAUCUCAUUCCAGGGAAGGCUGCCCAAGCACCCCAAACUGAUUAGACAUAGAUAUUGGAAACCAGCCCAUGCACACGCACAUGUGUUGAGAUGCAAGGCAACGAGGCCAAAAACAUCAAGAUGUAAAUUUAACACCUACGACUGAGUCAAUCUUCUUCCACAUCAACGCCUUCAAGAUAAGCCGGAGCCGUCCACUCGUAUCUCGUAGCGGUAAGAGACAAAUAAAUCACUUUUUCUUGCACUUCCCUGGGAUGGUUGAUCACUGUGGUCUGCCAUUUCAUCUACUGGAUUGAUGACCCAUCAUACAUCGCACUGAUGUUGAUGAUGAUAGUAGAGAUGCAUGCAGCCAUGGAAAAAAGGGUUCCUACUUUUGAUCAUGUUUGGCCGCAACAGGCACCUAGGGGCUAGGGCAUCCUGAAUGAUACCUCAUACAGGUCUAGAAGGCAGGGGAAAGAAAGAAAGAAGGCGAGAAAAGGGCAACAUCAGGAUCAGGUGGCGACGUGCAAGUCUGGCGCUGCCAAAUACCCAAAGUACAGAGUGGUUGGCAUGAGUGCCAGAAACAAAAUGGAAUUUAUCAGGCCUGCCUCCACGACAAUGCUACGUUGAUGCUAACUCGAUCCCGCGUCCACAUUAGCCGGUAUCUCUCCGGCAUGGCCCGUAUCUUUAUGGCAUGACACUGACAACGUCCCUCGCAAUCGCAAGAUCUCUGAGGACUCUGGAGUUUCUGAUGGGGAUAAGCUGGUGGAUUGAUUGGGCAACUAAUCGCAAGGACGGGGACCGGCAGAGGAUACUUCAGACGUCAAAGAAAAAAGAAGAACACCGGUGGAGGGAGUGAAGUUGCGGAAGGGAGGAGAUCAUCAAGAAGCUGUUAGUGAUGAAAAAAGACGACAUAAAAUUGAUGCAUGAGAUGAGAGGAGUAUCAUCGAAGAACACCGGUGGAGUGAAGUUGCACAAGGGGGGAGGUCAUCAAGAAGCUGUUAGUAAUGAGAAAAGACGACCUAAAAUUGAUGCAUGAGAGGAGUAUCAUCGGUACUUUCUUUCUUCUUUGAUCUUCAAUAUGAUUUAACAAGUAUAGCAAUGGAAGAAUCAAGGAAACCCCGGAAGAAUGAUACUAAUCAGAAAGACCUGCUGAUACCGAAGGGCAGUGUUAGCCAUCGCAGCAUUCUCAUAACUAGAAAGCUAAUGUUAACCAGCACUGCCACAUUAAUAUCUUAAACAGAUAGAUUAAUAUCUGAGUCAGAAAAUGAACCACCAAGAAGGAUUUCUUAAUCUCUGAACCAGAAGAUUUUUCUGCUGUUAGUCCCGGACGUCUCACUGUCCAAUCAAGCAUUUCUCAUUUUGCAUGAUGUUAUAGUGAGAUUACCAUUGUUGGAAAAUUUUGUUGUUGAUUCUGCUGGCCUUUCAUUAUAGACACUGCGUAGUUGCUGCCCUGCAUAAUUGCCUGGGAAAUCUUUGAUUGGUUUCUAGUCUUCAAUGCACAGAGAAAUGCAGAGUAUAGACUGGUAUAUCCAACAACAAAAUUAUUGCUGUUCUAUUAAACAGUCUUUGGCUUAUUGCCCAACACCCAUUCACUGAAAUUUGUUUUACACUCGUCUGAUAUUGUAAUGUUCAGCAGCGGCGGAGCUUCAUGGGGGCCAUCCCCCCCCCGCCCCC